rnacentral:antisense_RNA from 1 species
ACCCCCACCAGCAGCAGCAGCGCCCGCUUUGCCCCGGCUCCGGAGCGCUGUUUACCUAAUCUCAGCGGCUGACCGAGCCCAGCAGAAUGCGAAAGGGAGGCAGCGGUGGUACAGCAGCGUCCCCGGCGAAGAAGUAAAAGACGUUUGCUUUGGAGCUUCGGGAUAAGUUAACUGCGAAGCUGGGGUCCUGCUGUCUUAUCUCUGCGGGGAUGAGCCUCACCGUGCACGUUGGCAGGCAUAGCAGAUUCUAUCUGUUUCUGAUGCCAUUACCGUGUCGGAGAAGAACAUUAUAUGAAAAAAUAUUAUCUAAUAUCCUAGAGACCAUUAAAGUGUCAAAGUUUAAUGCCAA